rnacentral:rRNA from 1 species
UGGUGGAGUGAUUUGUCUGGUUAAUUCCGAUAACGAACGAGACCUUAACCUGCUAACUAGUCACGGUAAGCUUCGCUUGCCGGCCGACUUCUUAGAGGGACAAUCUGUUUCCAACAGAUGGAAGUUUGAGGCGAUAACA